rnacentral:rRNA from 1 species
GACGAACGCUGGCGGCGUGCUUAACACAUGCAAGUCGAACGAUGAAGCGGGUGCUUGCCCUCGUGGAUUAGUGGCGAACGGGCGAGUAACACGUGAGUAACCUGUCCUUUUCUUUGGGAUAACGGCUGGAAACGGCUGCUAAUACUGGAUAUUCAGGCUGCAUCGCACGGUGUGGUUUGGAAAGGUUUUUUCUGGGAUUGGGUGGGCUCGCGGCCCAUCAGCUUGUUGGUGGGGUGAUGGCUUACCAAGGCUUUGACGGGUAGCCGGCCUGAGAGGGUGGUCGGUCGCACUGGGACUGAGAUACGGCCCAGACUCCUACGGGAGGCAGCAGUGGGGAAUAUUGCACAAUGGACGAAAGUUUGAUGCAGCGACGCCGCGUGGAGGGUGUAGGCCUUCGGGUUGUGAACUCCUUUGUCUCGCGAAAAAGGCACAGUUUUGGCUGUGUUGAUGGUAGUGGGGGAAGAAGCGCCGGCUAACUACGUG